rnacentral:rRNA from 1 species
AUGCACGCUUGCGGCGUGCCUCACCCCUGCCAGUCGAACGGAGUCGUUUUGGAAAUCUCUUCGGAGAUGGAAUUCUCGACUUAGUGGCGGACGGGUGAGUAACGCGUGAGCAAUCUGCCUUUAAGAGGGGGAUAACAGUCGGAAACGGCUGCUAAUACCGCAUAAAGCAUUAAAUUCGCAUGUUUUUGAUGCCAAAGGAGCAAUCGGAUUUUAGAUGAGCUCGCGUCUGAUUAGCUAGUUGGCGGGGUAACGGCCCACCAAGGCGACGAUCAGUAGCCGGACUGAGAGGUGGAACGGCCACAUCGGGAAUGAGACACGGCACAGGCUCCUACGGGAGGCAGCAGUGGAGAAUAUUGCGCAAUGGGGGAAACACUGACGCAGCAACGCCGCGUGAUUGAAGAAGGCAUUAGGGUUGUAAAGAUCUUUAAUCAGGGACGAAAAAAAUGACGGUACCUGAAGAAUAAGCUCCGGCUAACUACGUG